rnacentral:rRNA from 1 species
UACGGGGGGGGUAAGCGUUGUUCGGAAUCACUGGGCGUAAAGCGCACGUAGGCGGAUGUGUCAGUCAGGGGUGAAAUCCCGGAGCUCAACUUCGGAACUGCCUCUGAUACAGCACGUCUUGAGUCCGAUAGAGGUGGGUGGAAUUCCUAGUGUAGAGGUGAAAUUCGUAGAUAUUAGGAAGAACACCGGUGGCGAAGGCGGCCCACUGGAUCGGUACUGACGCUGAGGUGCGAAAGCGUGGGGAGCAAACAGG